CAGCCCCUCGCCGCCUGAAUGGGAGUGGGCGCCGGGAAGGGAGCGGAGCCGGCACAGGCUGCUGCUGCGAUCCUGGACGGAAGGCAGGCGCCACCGAGAGACCCCCACCGGCAGCCAGAAUCGUCUGGCCAAAGUGAGAUCUCAGAAUUACUCACCAGGAAGGAGCCAUGGAGCAGAACUCAAAGGAACAGUCCAGCUCCCCUCAGAAGCAUGUAGUGAAAGCUCGAUCCAAAUCCACAGAGGAAAUGCAGCCUGCCAAGAAGGCAUUCCAAACACCCCAGAAGUCCUUACCAAACCAGAUGGAUGAAGAUGAAUCCAAGGGUUCCUGUCCUGUCCCAGCACCUGGCUCCACUCAGCAAGAGCAGCAGCAGACCUGAGGAACAGGAGAUGAUUGAGCGUCAACUAUCAAGAAGUGGAGUCAUGACCAUUCCUUGUGCUGUUUCUUGGCUUGGCCUUGUUGCUCUGUCUUUACACCCUUGUGGAUGUCCCUGUAGUUCUGUCUGUCCAGCUGUUGCUGUCUGACUGUCUAUCUUCUCUGUGGAAUGAAUCUAGGUCAAUAAAGUGUGUUGGAACAUC